rnacentral:rRNA from 1 species
GACGAACGCUGGCGGCGUGCCUUAUACAUGCAAGUCGAGCGCAGGAAAUCAUCCGAACCCUUCGGGGGGACGUUGAUGGAAUGAGCGGCGGACGGGUGAGUAACACGUAAAGAACCUGCCCUCAGGUCUGGGAUAACCACGAGAAAUCGGGGCUAAUACCGGAUGGGUCAUCGGACCGCAUGGUCCGAGGAUGAAAGGCGCUUCGGCGUCGCCUGGGGAUGGCUUUGCGGUGCAUUAGCUAGUUGGUGGGGUAAUGGCCCACCAAGGCGACGAGGCAUAGCCGACCUGAGAGGGUGAUCGGCCACACUGGGACUGAGACACGGCCCAGACUCCUACGGGAGGCAGCAGUAGGGAAUCUUCCACAAUGGACGAAAGUCUGAUGGAGCAACGCCGCGUGAACGAUGAAGGCCUUCGGGUCGUAAAGUUCUGUUGUAAGGGAAGAGCAAGUGCCGCAGGCAAUGGCGGCACCUUGACGGUACCUUGCGAGAAAGCCACGGCUAACUACGUGCCAGCCGCCGCAGUAA